rnacentral:tRNA from 1 species
ACCUGGGUGGCUCAGUCAGUUAAGCGUCUGAUUUUCAACUUAGGCUCAGGUCGUGAUCCCACAGCUCGUGGGUUCGAGCCCCACCUUGGGCU